rnacentral:rRNA from 1 species
UGGCGGGCGUGCUUAAACACAUGCAAGUCGAACGAGAGGACAUGGGAAGCUUGCUUCCUAUGAAAUCGAUGGGCAAACGGGUGAGUAAACGCGUAAACAACCUGCCCUUCGGAUGGGGAUAACAGCCGGAAACGGCUGCUAAUACCGAAUACGAUCUUUUCGUCGCAUGACGGAAAGAAGAAAAAGGAUGGCCUCUAUACAAAGCUAUCGCCGAAGGAGGGGUUUGCGUCUGAUUAGCUGGUUGGAGGGUAACGGCCCAACAAGGCGAUGAUCAGUAGCCGGUCUGAGAGGAUGAACGGCCACAUUGGGACUGAGACACGGCCCAGACUCCUACGGAGGCAGCAGUGGGGAAUCUUCCGCAAUGGACGAAAGUCUGACGGAGCAACGCCGCGUGAGUGAAGAAGGUCUUCGGAUUGUAAAACUCUGUUAUACGGGACGAAAAAGACGGAUGCCAACAGUAUCCGUCCGUGACGGUACCGUAAGAGAAAGCCACGGCUAACUACGUGCCAGCAGCCGCGGUAAAU